rnacentral:rRNA from 1 species
AAAGGAAUAGACGGGGGCCCGCACAAGCGGAGGAACAUGUGGUUUAAUUCGAUGAUACGCGAGGAACCUUACCCGGGCUUGAAAGUUAGUGACGUACUUGGAAACAGGUAUUCCCUUCGGGGCACGAAACUAGGUGCUGCAUGGUUGUCGUCAGCUCGUGCCGUGAGGUGUCGGCUUAAGUGCCAUAACGAGCGCAACCCUUAUCAUCAGUUACCAUCAGGUAAUGCUGGGGACUCUGGUGAGACUGCCACCGUAAGGUGUGAGGAAGGUGGGGAUGACGUCAAAUCAGCACGGCCCUUACGUCCGGGGCGACACACGUGUUACAAUGGGCGGUACAGAGGGCAGCUACCUAGCGAUAGGAUGCGAAUCUCUUAAAGCCGUUCUCAGUUCGGAUCGGAGUCUGCAACUCGACUCCGUGAAGCUGGAUUCGCUAGUAAUCGCGCAUCAGCCAUGGCGCGGUGAAUACGUUCCCGGGCCUUGUACACACCGCCCGU